AUCCAGCUGACGAGUCCCAAAUAGGACGAAACGCGGACCUUGGAU
rnacentral:hammerhead_ribozyme from 1 species